AUGGGGCGAAGAGAAAAGCAAACACCAGGCGCCGCGGCAGGUGAACUUGUCAACAAGUCAGCCCCAGACGCAAGUCCCUGCCCAGAAGGGACCUCGGGAUCCCGGGGCCGCAGCUGCUGGGAAGGCCAGGCACACGGCGUGGGUGGAGUGGGCUGGCGUGGGUGGGGGUGCCGCGGGCGCUGGGGCAGGAGAUGCGGCCCGCGCCCGGAACGCUUCCCUCCCGCUCCCCCGGGAUUGACGCACGCUCUCCUGGCGCGCGCAUCCUCCAGACCUGCCCAGGCCCGAGGGAGGAGGCGGGGGAGGGGUAGGGGCUGUAGCGGUUCCCACACGCGGACCAGGGACUGGAAGAGGCGACCCGCCUGUCUGUCACCCGCCGCCCGCGGAGGGCACAGUUGGCGGCCCCAGGCUGGCGCCCCGACCUCCGCGGCUGCCGGGCGUCUCCCGCUGCAGCCUGCAGCCCGCCCGGCGCGCCCCCGCCCCGACCCCGGACGGCAGGUACCUCGGAGCCCCGGCCCCCGAGAGCCUCCUGGCCGCGGUCGGAGCGUCCCUCCAGCUCCCUCAUCCGACGUCAGCGUCAGCAGAAGGCGAGGGAAGGGGCGGGGGGAGCGCAGGAACCGGCCCUUCCUGCGGCGGUCGCCGCCAGCCGGAAUAGCAGCCGGCGGAGCCCGUGCGCGCCGCAGCGCAGCGCAGCGGCCGGGGGGAGCGGGCGGCCUCUCCUCCCAGCGAACGCCGGCGCCCUGGGCGCCGCCGCCUCGCCUCCCCUCCCUUCCUCUCUCCUCGGGAGACGCCCGGCAGGACGACCCCUCCCAGCAGGACCCUGGCAUCCUGAGGAGCGAGGGGGCGAAGGCCUCACCUUUUGGGGGGCGGGUCCGGGAUGAGGGGGGUGAACCUCCCUCUCUCUCUCCUCCCUGGGGACUUUCCUCGACCCCCAUCUCCUGGGGUAUCCCCCGCUCGGAUCUACCGCUCUGGGUGACCCCACCCCUGCUCUCCCGCAGGUGUUCCACGUGUCCAUAG
rnacentral:lncRNA from 1 species